AGGAUGAACGCUGGCGGCGUGCUUAACACAUGCAAGUCGAACGAUGAAGCCGGAGCUUGCUCUGGUGGACUAGUGGCGAACGGGUGGGUAACACGUGAGUAACCUGCCCUUGACUCUGGGAUAAGCACUGGAAACGGUGUCUAAUACCGGAUACGAGCUUUAGCCGCAUGGCUAGGAGCUGGAAAGAAUUUCGGUCAAGGAUGGACUCGCGGCCUAUCAGGUAGUUGGUGAGGUAACGGCCCACCAAGCCUACGACGGGUAGCCGGCCUGAGAGGGUGACCGGCCACGACUGGGACUGAGACACGGCCCAGACUCCUACGGGAGGCAGCAGUGGGGAAUAUUGCACAAUGGGCGCAAGCCUGAUGCAGCAACGCCGCGUGAGGGACGACGGCCUUCGGUGUAACCUCUUUAGUAGGAAGAAGCGAAAGUGACGGUACUGCAGAAAAGCACCGGCUAACUACGUGCCAGCAGCCGC
rnacentral:rRNA from 1 species